GUCACACCUGCACAAUGGCCUACGGGUUCAAUUGCCGCGGUAACCUGACCGUGCAAAGGUAGCGUAAUCAAUAGCCUAUUAAUUGUUGGCCUGUAUGAAUGGUUUUACGCUGGUGGCGCUGUCUCAGUGAUAUUAGUUUGAAUUUAACUUUUAGGUGAAAAGGCCUAUAUGAACCUGAAAGACGAUUAGACCCUGUCGAACUUUAGGUAGAUUUGUUUUUAGGGCAUUAAUGUGGGUCUAAAAUGCAGUUAAACCUUUGGUUGGGGUAACCGGGGGCUAAAAAAAACGUCCCCCCUUUUUUGUAAUGAGACACCCGUUUGAUGGGGGUAAUAGAGAUUUUACCUUUAGGGCAAUUGGCCUAAGGAAAGUAAACCCAGUAGAAAAGUAAAGGUAUGACAGUACAUGAAUUACUUGUCGAAUGAAACUGAAGAUUCACCUAAGGUAUUUGGUGGAGAUCUGUUUAUUGGGAAGAGUUACCGCAGGGAUAACAGCGUAAUCUUCCCGGCGAGACCACAUUAAUGGGAAGGUCUGCGACCUCGAUGUUGGCUUAGGGCUUUCUAGGGGUGCAGCGCUCUAAGAGUGGU
rnacentral:rRNA from 1 species